rnacentral:rRNA from 1 species
GUGGGGAAUCUUAGACAAUGGGCGCAAGCCUGAUCUAGCCAUGCCGCGUGAGCGAUGAAGGCCUUAGGGUUGUAAAGCUCUUUCAGCUGGGAAGAUAAUGACGGUACCAGCAGAAGAAGCCCCGGCUAACUCCGUGCCAGCAGCCGCGGUAAUACGGAGGGGGCUAGCGUUGUUCGGAAUUACUGGGCGUAAAGCGCACGUAGGCGGAUCAGAAAGUCAGAGGUGAAAUCCCAGGGCUCAACCUUGGAACUGCCUUUGAAACUCCUGAUCUUGAGGUCGAGAGAGGUGAGUGGAAUUCCGAGUGUAGAGGUGAAAUUCGUAGAUAUUCGGAGGAACACCAGUGGCGAAGGCGGCCUCCUGGGAUGACACUGACGCUCAUGCACGAAAGCGUGGGGAGCAAACAGGAUUAGAUACCCCGGUAGUCC